rnacentral:rRNA from 1 species
GAACGAACGCUGGCGGCAGGCUUAACACAUGCAAGUCGAACGCCCCGCAAGGGGAGUGGCAGACGGGUGAGUAACGCGUGGGAAUCUACCGUACCCUACGGAAUAACGCAUGGAAACGUGUGCUAAUACCGUAUACGCCCUACGGGGGAAAGAUUUAUCGGGGUAUGAUGAGCCCGCGUUGGAUUAGCUAGUUGGUGGGGUAAAGGCCUACCAAGGCGACGAUCCAUAGCUGGUCUGAGAGGAUGAUCAGCCACAUUGGGACUGAGACACGGCCCAAACUCCUACGGGAGGCAGCAGUGGGGAAUAUUGGACAAUGGGCGCAAGCCUGAUCCAGCCAUGCCGCGUGAGUGAUGAAGGUCUUAGGAUUGUAAAGCUCUUUCACCGGAGAAGAUAAUGACGGUAUCCGGAGAAGAAGCCCCGGCUAACUUCGUGCCAGCAGCCGCGGUAAUACGAAGGGGGCUAGCGUUGUUCGGAAUUACUGGGCGUAAAGCGCACGUAGGCGGAUAUUUAAGUCAGGGGUGAAAUCCCAGAGCUCAACUCUGGAACUGCCUUUGAUACUGGGUAUCUUGAGUAUGGAAGAGGUAAGUGGAAUUCCGAGUGUAGAGGUGAAAUACGUAGAUAUUCGGAGGAACACCAGUGGCGAAGGCGGCUUACUGGUCCAUUACUGACGCUGAGGUGCGAAAGCG